GAUGAAGAACGCAGCGAAAUGCGAUAAGUAAUGUGAAUUGCAGAAUUCAGUGAAUCAUCGAAUCUUUGAACGUACAUUGCGCCCGCCAGUAUUCUGGCGGGCAUGCCUGUUCGAGCGUCAUUUCAACCAUCAAGCCCCCGGCUUGUGUUGGGGACCUGCGGCUGCCGCAGGCCCUGAAAACCAGUGGCGGGCUCGCUAGUCACUCCGAGCGUAGUAAUACAUCUCGCUCAGGGCGUGCUGCGGGUUCCGGCCGUUAAAAAGCCUUAUUUACCCAAGGUUGACCUCGGAUCAGGUAGGAAGACCCGCUGAACUUAAGCAUAUCAAUAAGCGGAGGA
rnacentral:misc_RNA from 1 species